rnacentral:rRNA from 1 species
UGGGGGAUAUUGCACAAUGGGCGAAAGCCUGAUGCAGCGACGCCGCGUGGGGGAUGAAGGCUUUCGGGUUGUAAACCUCUUUCGCUAUCGAACAAGGCCCGCUUAGGGUGGGUUGAGGGUAGGUGGAGAAGAAGCGCCGGCUAACUACGUGCCAGCAGCCGCGGUAAUACGUAGGGCGCGAGCGUUGUCCAGAAUUAUUGGGCGUAAAGGGCUUGUAGGCGGCUUGUUGCGCCUGCUGUGAGAACGCGGGGCUUAACUUCGCGCGUGCAGUGGGUACGGGCAGGCUUGAGUGUGGUAGGGGUGACUGGAAUUCCAGGUGUAGCGGUGGAAUGCGCAGAUAUCUGGAGGAACACCGAUGGCGAAGGCAGGUCACUGGGCCAUUACUGACGCUGAGGAGCGAAAGCAUGGGUAGCGAACAGG